GAUAAGAUAUCGAGGAAGGAAAUAUCAUGAAUUCAUUAAAAGUGUAAAAUUUAUCAAAUUGUUGAAGUCAUUGAUAAAAUAUGGAGAUGGUAUUAAAUAUAUAUCUAAAUACCUAACAAUAAGAAAGUAUUGAACAAAAAGUCAAUAUAAUAUCAAAAAAAUUGGCAAAUAUAAGGUAAAAAUUCGAUUCUAUUUUAAAAAAAAAAAAAAGAAAGUGUAAAUUUUGAGAUAAAAUAGACAGAUUAACAAUUUAAUACUGACAAAGGAAUUACGUUUGAGCAGAUCAAGAAUGAGAGCAUCGAUUUGGUCUUGUCUUUUGUCAUGGUAGGUUUUCCUCUAUUUUGAGGGGUGUGGAGUGGUUGUGUGUUGUUAGGUGCUUGGUUUUGUGAGGUAUGGCAACAAGGAGUAAUUUUCAGCGGUGGAUAAGUAGUUGACGAUGGGAUAUUCAGGGUAACUGGCGGCAUCCCACAAUUAUAGGGAUAUGGAAGUUAUGAUGGACAGGUGGGGGAUAAAGGGUCACUGAAUCAUGGGAGAGGAGAUAGGGUCAUUAUGAGGCCUGAAGUCGUGGGAAUAAGACUUUCCAAGAAUGAAGGGAUAUCGAAUGAGGAAGAGGCGAGAAAUGAACGUGAUAUUCAAAGGGAGGGGUUGACUAUAAUAGAGUUGAAAAGGAGAAGGACAACUAAUGACUUAGUCCUGGGGUCAACUACUGAUGUGGAUAUGGAUCAAUAUGAAGUUGGACUUCCAAAAAACUUAGUUGGGGCAGGCCUUGGCAAUCAGGCCCACCCGGAGACAUGAGUACACUCAGUUGGAUGAUGUGGGCUUGAGAACCCACGGGCCCAACAAUUCUUAAAGGACAUGGUUGUUCAAAAGAAGCUUAGAUUUAUUUUCUUUUUAGUGAAACAAUUUGUAAAAGGAAACAAUGGAGAGGAUACGGCUGCAGCUGGGUUUUCAGGGUAUGGUGAAUGUAGAUGCGCAAGGGCAUAGCGGGGGUGUUGUGAUGUUGUGGAGAUUUAAAGAAUAUGCUAAACUUCCUAAUCAUAUAGAUAUGGUCAUUAGGGUGGAAGAGAUGAUUGAGUGGCACCUCACAGGGUUGUAUGGAGAGUCGAAUAUGAGGCAUCAUACAUGGGAGCUGUUUCGUAAGCUACAGAGGAAGUCGAAUCUCCCCUAGUGCGUGAUAGGAGAUAUGAAUAACAUCUUAAGCCAAGAAGAUAAGUGUGGAGGAAGACCCUACCCAAACUGGCUGCUUGAAGGCUUCCAGAGAGUUUUAGCUAAUUGUGAGUUAUUUGAUUUGGAAUUAGUUGGGUACCCUUACACGUGGGAGAAGGGUAUCGAAACUAAUCAGUGGGUGGAGGUGAGGUUAGAGUCUUGGAGAGACUCUUUUCUCUCAGCUAAAUUAUUUAACUUGGAGGUCUCAUCAUUGGAUCACUGUCCUAUUUUUUUGGACCUAAUUGACCAGCAAAUUUUUCUAUCGGCUUCAAACUUUAAGUUUGAAAAUGGUUGGCUUCGUGAGCCAAUGUGUCACCAGCCGGUUACAGAAUGUUGGGAGGUAUGUCGACAUCUAGAUACAAGGCAAGUUGAAUUAUUGCAGUGAGGUGUUGACAAAGUGGGGAAAGGAAAUAACAUGAAAUUUUAAGUAAAGGUUGUUGAGGUGUAAGAGAGUGAUAAAUGAGACAAAAGGAAGGUGGGAAGUAGAUUCUUUGCAAAGAUAUAGUGAUUCAAACAAGAACCUUUUUGAGAUGCUAACGCAGAGGGAAGUUUUCUGGAAGUAAAGAUCAAAACAAUUAUGGCUCAGAGAAGGGGGUCAAAAUAGCAAGUUUUUCCAUGCUACUGCGAGUGCUUGUAAGCAAAACAAUCAAAUUCAGAAGUUACAAGGAGGGAAUGGUAGCUAGUGUGAUUGGGAGAGUGGGCUAUCAGAUGUUAUGGUUAACUAUUUUUGGGAGCUUUUUCAGGCUUCCGAGAGGGAAUGGGCAGAGGUGUUGGGCUGUAUCCAACCUUCUAUCACGACAAUUCAGAAUGAAGAUCUUCUUUGGUCUGUCUCAGAUGAGGAAGUAAAAGAGGCCAUUUUUCAGAUGCAUCCUAAUAAAUGUCCUGGUCCAGAUGGGAUGAGUCCAUGUUUCUACCAGAAAUGUUGGGACGUGGUGGGGAGAGUUGUUGUGGAUUUAGUAAAAGGCUCUUUUAAUGAUGGACUGCUCCCUGUGAAGAUGAAUGACACGAAUAUAGUCCUCAUUCCGAAGAAGUAGAAUCCAGUCACUAUGGGGGAGCAUAGGCCGAUUUCAUUGUGCAAUGUCUUGUACAAAGUGUCUUCGAAGGUGCUGGCUAACAGGUUGAAACAGAUGCUCGAUCAGGUAGUGUUAGAUUCUCAAAGUGCUUUCAUUAUAGGUAGACUUAUCACUGAUAAUAUAAUGGUAUCUUUUGAGAUAAUGCAUUAUCUGAAAAGGAAGAACAGAGGAAAAGCGGGUGUUGACGCGGUUUUUCGCCAACAGUGAAUUAAGAAAAUAACAAAGGUUGAUUAGUGCUUGAUAAUAAACUGAAAAUAAGAAAUGAACUCUCAAGAA